CCAACGCCGAUAUCCCGACCCGAUCUCCUCAUCCCCGACCAUUCUUCCCCGAUCACUUCUCCUCACCAUCGAUUCUCUCUCGCGGACGACUUGGCGCCGAGACCGGAGGAGCACCUUCGACGAUUGUCGGUGUUGCCUGAGGAGGAAGUCACCGGAGCUCGACGGAAUCCAAGUUGUAUUCGACCGAGGGGUCGCUGCUUUGGUGAUUUCUGUGGCCGAGUGUCGACGAUCGAUGGCUAGGGCACGGUGAGAGCUAGAUCUUGCAUCGUCUUCCAUCGGUAGGCCUUCCCUCUCCUCCCUCACGCCGACUGCCGACGCCACUGGAAUCGAGUCAGAUUUGAUCGUCGGCGUGAAGAGAUAAUUAGGGCUUUGAGGGUCAGGUCUUGGAUCCCUUCCUUGUUGUUGUUGAUUGAGAGUCAGGGGAAUCCCUGGUAUGCUGGUUCACGGAGCGGAGUAGGUGAUCCAUCUGGAAAUGAUCAGUUGAGGAGGGAGAGAUCGGAUCCAAUUACUUGCUGUAAUCCACAGAUCAGUUCUUGGAUGUUUCCUUCUUUGCUGUGAUAGAGGUGUUCUGUAGGUUGGGAGGUUCCUUGUUCUUGAUUAAAGGAAGCAUUGGGCUGCUGUGGAUCAAUGAUUUAGGUCACGGGAUUGAUUUCCAGUGAGGUUCUUACUUGAUUCCAGCAUCCAGUAGCUGAGAUUGAGGAUUCUGAUUCGAGACAGGCGUCUCGACGUUGACUUCGGAUUUGGGAUUGUACCUUCUAUUUGAGG